rnacentral:tRNA from 1 species
GGAUGUAGUUCAGUGGCAGAGCACUUGCCUGGCCUGCAUGAGGCUCUGGGUUUGAUCCCCAGAACAGCCA